rnacentral:rRNA from 1 species
UACAGAGGUCCCGAGCGUUGUUCGGAUUUACUGGGCGUAAAGGGUGCGUAGGUGGUCGGGUAAGUCUCAUGUGAAAUCCCGCAGCUUAACUGCGGAACGGCAUGGGAUACUAUUCGGCUCGAGGAUUGGAGGGGGGACUGGAAUUCCCGGUGUAGCAGUGAAAAUGCGUAGAUAUCGGGGAGGAACACCAGUGGCGAAGGCGAGUCCCUGGACAAUUCCUGACGCUGAGAAGGCGAAAGCAUGGGGGAGCGAACAGG